GCAAGGUUAACCGAAUAGGGGAGCCGGAGGGAAACCGAGUCUUAAUUGGGCGUUAAGUUGCAGGGUAUAGACCCGAAACCCGGUGAUCUAGCCAUGGGCAGGUUGAAGGUUGGGUAACACUAACUGGAGGACCGAACCGACUAAUGUUGAAAAAUUAGCGGAUGACCUGUGGCUGGGGGUGAAAGGCCAAUCAAACCGGGAGAUAGCUGGUUCUCCCCGAAAGCUAUUUAGGUAGCGCCUCGUGAAUUCAUCUCCGGGGGUAGAGCACUGUUUCGGCUAGGGGGCCAUCCCGGCUUACCAACCCGAUGCAAACUGCGAAUACCGGAGAAUGUUAUCACGGGAGACACACGGCGGGUGCUAACGUCCGUCGUGAAGAGGGAAACAACCCAGACCGCCAGCUAAGGUCCCAAAGUCAUGGUUAAGUGGGAAACGAUGUGGGAAGGCCCAGACAGCCAGGAUGUUGGCUUAGAAGCAGCCAUCAUUUAAAGAAAGCGUAAUAGCUCACUGGUCGAGUCGGCCUGCGCGGAAGAUGUAACGGGGCUAAACCAUGCACCGAAGCUGCGGCAGCGAACGUAUCACUUAAAGCGAUUCAGCGGGUUACGAUUGACGGAGCGAAGCGACGUCAAAGCGUAUACAAAGUCGAGUCGGUUUAAGGAUACGUUCGUUGGGUAGGGGAGCGUUCUGUAAGCCUGUGAAGGUGGCCUGUGAGGGUUGCUGGAGGUAUCAGAAGUGCGAAUGCUGAC
rnacentral:rRNA from 1 species